ACUCCAGGAGAGCCAUUUGUCUGAUAGAAAGGGAGUUGGGGGGCGAAAACCAUCUAGGUUACAAACAUGAGUCUUCCCAAAAUGUGGACUGCCCAGUAGAGCCGCUGUGGCCUCCGACCGACAGUUCGGGCCGCUCCACACAGAGAAACUCGGCCUGAGGUUGGAGUCGGGGCCUGAGGGAAGAGAGCGGGGGGCGAAGCCCAGGAUUGCCUGUGCUGGUGCUCUGACUGCAGAGAGGACUGACUGACUGACUGACUGGCUAAUUGGCUUCUCCCCGCCUUCUUCGCCUGCUGAAGGAACCAGAAAGAAAAAAAAACCCCGAAAAAAAACCCCUAAACGGCGUGCAUCCAACCCCACAAAUGGACGGGAAAUGGUGGAUUUGUCUCGGGCAAUAGAGGCAAUCGAUUUUGAGCCUGCUGUGGCAGAACUCCUUGGCCCACACUUCCUUUGGGGGAGAUCGUUCGUUUUCCAUUGGAUUCCAAUUAAAAAAGGAGAAAAAUCAA